AUUGAACGCUGGCGGAAUGCUUUACACAUGCAAGUCGAGCGGCAGCGCGGGGCAACCUGGCGGCGAGCGGCGAACGGGUGAGUAAUGUAUCGGAACGUGUCCUGUCGUGGGGGAUAGCCCGGUGAAAACCGGAUUAAUACCGCAUACGAUCGAGAGAUGAAAGGGGGGGACCGCAAGGCCUCACGCGAUAGGAGCGGCCGAUAUCUGAUUAGCUAGUUGGUGGGGUAAAGGCCCACCAAGGCUUCGAUCAGUAGCUGGUCUGAGAGGAUGAUCAGCCACACUGGGACUGAGACACGGCCCAGACUCCUACGGGAGGCAGCAGUGGGGAAUUUUGGACAAUGGGGGCAACCCUGAUCCAGCCAUUCCGCGUGAGUGAAGGAGGCCUUCGGGUUGUAAAGCUCUUUUGUCCGGGAAGAAACGGUUUUGGCUAAUAACCAAGACUACUGACGGUACCGGAAGAAUAAGGACCGGCUAACUACGUGCCAGCAGCCGCCGUAA
rnacentral:rRNA from 1 species